GCUAAGAAUAUUCCGCAAUGGACGAAAGUCUGACGGAGCGACGCCGCGUGGAUGAAGAAGGCCGAAAGGUUGUAAAGUUCUUUUGUUGGGGAAGAAUAACCAUGGGAGGGAAUGCCCGUGGGAUGACAUGAACCGACGAAUAAGCCCCGGCUAACUACGUGCCAGCAGCCGCGGUAACACGUAGGGGGCGAGCGUUGUUCGGAAUUACUGGGCGUAAAGGGCAUGUAGGCGGUCUUGUAAGCUUGGCGUGAAAGACCACGGCUCAACCGUGGGAUUGCGUUGAGAACUGCGAGGCUUGAGUGACGGAGAGGGAGCUAGAAUUCCUGGUGUAGGGGUGGAAUCUGUAGAGAUCAGGAAGAAUACCAAUGGCGAAGGCAAGCUCCUGGCCGAUGACUGACGCUGAGGUGCGAAAGUGUGGGGAUCAAACAGGAUUAGAUACCCCAGUAGUCC
rnacentral:rRNA from 1 species